UGGUAGCUUGCUACCAGGCGUCGAGCGGCGGACGGGUGAGUAAUACUUAGGAAUCUACCUAGUAGUGGGGGAUAGCUCGGGGAAACUCGAAUUAAUACCGCAUACGACCUACGGGAGAAAGGGGGCAGUUUACUGCUCUCGCUAUUAGAUGAGCCUAAGUCGGAUUAGCUAGAUGGUGGGGUAAAGGCCUACCAUGGCGACGAUCUGUAGCUGGUCUGAGAGGAUGAUCAGCCACACCGGGACUGAGACACGGCCCGGACUCCUACGGGAGGCAGCAGUGGGGAAUAUUGGACAAUGGGGGAAACCCUGAUCCAGCCAUGCCGCGUGUGUGAAGAAGGCCUUUUGGUUGUAAAGCACUUUAAGCAGUGAAGAAGACUCCGUGGUUAAUACCCACGGACGAUGACAUUAGCUGCAGAAUAAGCACCGGCUAACUCUGUGCCAGCAGCCGCGGUAAUACAGAGGGUGCAAGCGUUAAUCGGAAUUACUGGGCGUAAAGGGAGCGUAGGUGGCUCGAUAAGUCAGAUGUGAAAUCCCCGGGCUCAACCUGGGAACUGCAUCUGAUACUGUUGAGCUAGAGUAUGUGAGAGGAAGGUAGAAUUCCAGGUGUAGCGGUGAAAUGCGUAGAGAUCUGGAGGAAUACCGAUGGCGAAGGCAGCCUUCUGGCAUAAUACUGACACUGAGGCUCGAAAGCGUGGGUAGCAAACAGGAUUAGAUACCCUGGUAGUCCACGCCGUAAACGAUGUCUACUAGUCGUUGGGUCCCUUGAGGACUUAGUGACGCAGCUAACGCAAUAAGUAGACCGCCUGGGGAGUACGGCCGC
rnacentral:rRNA from 1 species